AGUGAACGCUGGCGGUAGGCCUAACACAUGCAAGUCGAACGGCAGCACAGUAAGAGCUUGCUCUUACGGGUGGCGAGUGGCGGACGGGUGAGGAAUACAUCGGAAUCUACUUUUUCGUGGGGGAUAACGUAGGGAAACUUACGCUAAUACCGCAUACGACCUACGGGUGAAAGCAGGGGAUCUUCGGACCUUGCGCGAUUGAAUGAGCCGAUGUCGGAUUAGCUAGUUGGCGGGGUAAAGGCCCACCAAGGCGACGAUCCGUAGCUGGUCUGAGAGGAUGAUCAGCCACACUGGAACUGAGACACGGUCCAGACUCCUACGGGAGGCAGCAGUGGGGAAUAUGGGACAAUGGGCGCAAGCCUGAUCCAGCCAUACCGCGUGGGUGAAGAAGGCCUUCGGGUUGUAAAGCCCUUUUGUUGGGAAAGAAAAGCAGCAGGUUAAUACCCCGCUGUUCUGACGGGACCCAAAGAAUAAGCACCGGCUAACUUCG
rnacentral:rRNA from 1 species